rnacentral:lncRNA from 1 species
GAGAAUUUAUGAAGGACGGUCGGGUGCUGCUCAUCAUAGGCUCAUAAUUCAAUCAUGUCCCAUAUGUACGAAACCAGAGACUCACUUCAACUAAAGGGAAUACCAAUCAGUAAUUCAGUUUUAAAUAAGCUUUUCCCACAGCAUAAAAUGCCACUAAGCAAGUUGUUCCAACAUCAUCAAAAAAGCCAAACAAGAACAUGAAAGUGUCAUUUUUGAAAUUAAUACAAAAAUCUAUUUACUAAAGUACAUUGGUAGCAAAAUAUUGUCAGACUACUUUUUUUUUUUUUUUUUGGCAUCACAGGAUACGAUCAGACUACAUUUAACUUUCAAUAUCACUCACUAUAUUUUUCAAGCCAAACUUGAUCCAUGAUGCAGGAGGCCCCUCAAAAUACAAAUGAUAGUGAACAUGAUGCAUAAUAAGCAGUACGUUCAUAUAUCAAUGAUACGUAAAAAAAAAACAAGUUCGAAUUUGUUAUUCCUUGCAUAUUUAUAUUCUUUUUUUUUUUACUAAAACCUUUAUUCAUCUUUCCUACUUCCCGGAAGGAUAUUGUUUUGCAUAUUUAUAUUCUCUAUGGUAAUAUUGGCAAUCCAUCAACUAAAUAAAUAUGUUGUCCACGCAAUAUUGUCAAGCUAUAAACUAAACAAAAAAUGAUUUAUAAACUAAACAAAAAUGACCCUAAAACUCUCAAAACAAGAGGAGUUCUGCUAAGCCGUGACAGUGAAGAAGACGAGAAAUAGAGAGACAAUGGACAAACAAAACCCUAGAUCCAAAGAUCAGAGAAAAUGAGAAAUAAAAAAAAAACAUUAUUCCUCUGUGCGUACGGUUUAUCAGAUAAGUGGCAGUUUUAAUUAAUUAAUUUUUUUUUUGUCGAUGGUUAAUUAUGCUAUUACAAACUAUGAGAAAUGUUACAAGACGAUUUUACAGCCGACAAAUCUACCUGCCUUAUGAGGAUUCACGUCUGACUGUAUCAUUCUGAGCCGUCUUAUGAGAUUCAUGCCUGGCAGUACUCCUUGCGCCAUGCCGAAGAUCUCCUGUAGCUUUUCUCCAUAAAUUUGCAUAAUUCGCUUUUGCUGGGAUUCGAAACCCAGACCUCCUGGUGUAGAAACAUUAAUGAACCUUUAGUAGAUAAAUUAAUUAAUUAAUUUAUUUACUAAGUUUUCUUAUGAUAAUAAUACAAUUAUUUUAUUUUGAAUUUUGGUUGAAUAUAAAACAAUUAAUUCCUCCAUCUUUUUUAGGAAACAACUAUCCAUUUGACUUAUUAUAUGUAUACACAACUAUUAAUUUUAAGACAUUCGUUUUAGAUUUGGAGUUAGUUAAUAACCAUUUUAAGAGAUAGCAAUACAUAAUAGAUUAAAAAAGUUUCUACUAAAAUAAGACCAUGAUAAAAAAAAUAAUAGAUAAUAAAAAAUCAAAAAUAAUUGUCAGAAAAAAUAAUAAAAUACAGAAAUAAAAAAUAAAUAUAAAAACAAAAAUGAAUAAUUUUUCUAUGUAAAAGAGAUAUGUUAAGUUAUUCCAAUUAAACAAACGUAGAAUGUAUUUUAAAUGUUUAUGUCAAAGAUUCUACAAACAAAAACAGAAUAAAACUUCAAAUUAAAAAAAAUAAAUCAACAAUUCUACCCCAUCAAAAUAAAAACAGAAUAAAACUUGAAAUAAACAAUUUUAUUAAUCGUAAAAUUUUUUAGCUAAUUGUGAUGAGAAUAAAACUGAAUAAAGAAUAAUAAUCAAUAAAAAUAUAAAUAAAAAUAUUUAUUCUAACUAUUUAAAUUAUUUUUAAAUUAUCAUCCUGCCCGUAGGGCGGGCCCGCCCUAGUUACCAAUAAACCAUCACACACGAUAACAACAUUGAACUUAAUCACUAAACUAGAUUCUGACCCGCCCUUAAAAGGGCGGGUAUAUUUUUUGUUUUACAUUUUUUUAGAAAUUUAAUUUUUAUAUUUUGUGUUUUAAAUUUUAAUUUUAGAAAUUUGAUUUUCAUAUUUUUCAUUUCUUUGUAAUUAUAUUUGUAUUUUCUUUGUAAUUAUAUUUGUGUGUAAAUCUUAAUCAAAAUCUAUUUUAUGAAAUAAUAUCAAUUCAAAAGUUGAUCCGGCAUACGCUUGGUUCUUUGUAAUCAUAUGCCGAUAUAGCCGUUUUUUUGUAAUCAUAUUUUUUUUGUUCUAGGUCUUGACCCGUGAAUAUAUUGUUGGUUUGUAAUUUUUGGUUUUUUAUGUUUCUGUAAAUAUGCAACAUUUUUCUGUAAUUUUUUUAAUAUGUUAAAGAAAUUUAAUUUAUAUACACUUAUGGUAAGUAAGAAUAAGAAUGAACGAAAGGUGUUCCUCGGAAUUCUAGUAGGAUUAUCCUAACGUAGUGGUAAGUAUAUAUUAACUGAAAAAGGUAGAGUUAUAUAACAUAGGGUUAAUUUUUUUUUACUUGUUGAUAACCACCCUAAUGUAUUGGUUAUUG